UUCAGACGUUUACUCUUCUGACCUAUGCUAUGUGCAAAACCAACUAUAUGACGCCCUAGGCAUAACACCAUCAGGAACUUCUAACUUAUUGUCUCUUGAGGUCUCUGGGUGAGACUUGGAGCCAACUUGUACAAAUACAAAAGCAAAAUUC